GAGUUUGAUCCUGGCUCAGGAUGAACGCUGGCGGCGUGCCUAACACAUGCAAGUCGAACGGGGUCUUAGUGCGGAAGUUUUCGGAUGGAAGGAUUAAGACUUAGUGGCGGACGGGUGAGUAACGCGUGGAUAACCUGCCGUAUACCGGGGGAUAACACUUAGAAAUAGGUGCUAAUACCGCAUAAGCGCACGGCUCCGCAUGGGGCAGUGUGAAAAACUCCGGUGGUAUACGAUGGAUCCGCGUCUGAUUAGCUUGUUGGUGAGGUAACGGCUCACCAAGGCGACGAUCAGUAGCCGACCUGAGAGGGUGAUCGGCCACAUUGGAACUGAGACACGGUCCAAACUCCUACGGGAGGCAGCAGUGGGGAAUAUUGGGCAAUGGAGGCAACUCUGACCCAGCAACGCCGCGUGAAUGAUGAAGGUCUUCGGAUUGUAAAGUUCUUUUCUAAGGGAAGAAGAAAGUGACGGUACCUUAGGAAUAAGCCUCGGCUAACUACGUGCCAGCAGCCGCGGUAAUACGUAGGAGGCAAGCGUUAUCCGGAAUGACUGGGCGUAAAGGGUGCGUAGGUGGUUUGACAAGUUGGUAGCGCAACUCCGG
rnacentral:rRNA from 1 species